CUUCUACUGGGACUUCCCACUCCCUGCCCAGACCACACCAAAUCCUUUAUAGUCAGCACCUGCCCACACAGACAAAAAAAAACACAUUUUCGCGUUCGAUAUGACCUUCUGGAAAGCUCAGCUCCCUCCCUGUUCCCCAGGGUUCACACGUGUGGCCUCGGGGAAACUCCCUUGAGCAGACGAAAUGGAAAAGGAUUCGGUGUGGAUUUUUCUCAGGGAAUUCAGUAAAUUGGAGAUUUUCAGGAAGUAGCUCGGCUGACACUACGUAUCGACGCGACAGUUAAAACACAAAACUGAAAAUGGAAACAAUUCAGGCAGCACCAGCUGUCCGAGUGAAAGAACCGGGAAAAAGAACAGAAGGGCUUGAUUUCCAGUGCACUACACCAGUGACUCAUGACAUUUUGGACUUAUCCAGCUCGGUCAGUUGUAGUACAAGUCACUGUUGGUAAUGAGUGACAUUCUGAAAGCUUGUGUCUUCAAAUAAACCUGUUGUACUAUAA